rnacentral:rRNA from 1 species
AUUGAACGCUGGCGGCAGGCCUAACACAUGCAAGUCGAGCGGAUGAGGGAAGCUUGCUUCCCGAUUUAGCGGCGGACGGGUGAGUAAUGCCUAGGAAUCUGCCUAUUAGUGGGGGAUAACGUUCCGAAAGGAACGCUAAUACCGCAUACGUCCUACGGGAGAAAGUGGGGGAUCUUCGGACCUCACGCUAAUAGAUGAGCCUAGGUCGGAUUAGCUAGUUGGUGGGGUAACGGCUCACCAAGGCGACGAUCCGUAGCUGGUCUGAGAGGAUGAUCAGCCACACUGGAACUGAGACACGGUCCAGACUCCUACGGGAGGCAGCAGUGGGGAAUAUUGGACAAUGGGCGAAAGCCUGAUCCAGCCAUGCCGCGUGUGUGAAGAAGGUCUUCGGAUUGUAAAGCACUUUAAGUUGGGAGGAAGGGUUGUAAGCUAAUAUCUUGCAGCUUUGACGUUACCAACAGAAUAAGCACCGGCUAACUUCGUGCCAGCCGCCGCCGUAACAC